AAGCACCGGGCAAUUAGUGCCAUUAGCAAUGCCACCAGCUCCAGCUCCCUGGGCGUUCGUGGGGGCGGGGGCCCGGCCCCUCCCGGCUGAGCUCAGCUCUGACGUGGGUCCUGCUGAGGAUGCUCUUACUCACAUUGUGCCCUCCUCACGUCACGGAGCAGCAGCACCCUGCCCAGAGGAGCAGGUUGGCUCCCAAGGCUCCCCUGUUCUCUGGAAGGGCACGUUCCCAAACCCCGGAGCUGCUGGUGCUGGCAGCAGCCCCGCUGGGAGAAGGUGACACACGCUCCCCAGCCCUCCCUGUCACCCCAGGGAAGGGCUGGGUCUGCCCUGCCUUCCCGCCGUCCACAGCUCGGGGUUUUGAGUCUCUGAUCUCAGCUGGAGCACCCCCGGGCAGAGCAGCACCUCUGGAGGGACUGGUUCCUGCCGAGCCCCGGCUGCAAACCCCUCGGGAAGGGGGUCCCAGCCUGGGGGCUCAGCAUGGCCCUGGAGCCGGCCAGGGCUGGGGGAAGGAGGAGCAGAGCAGGAACCGGCCGGACUCGUUACACCGGUGACACUCGGGAAGGGUGACUGUGAGUGGCACGCUAACCAUCGUGUCCAGUCUGUAAGGAAUGCACCCAGGAUCCGCCAGGGGAGCAGUCCCGGGAAACGCCUCUGCCCUGGCUGUCAGUCAUUCCCCUGAGCACCUCGGGAUGCCAGCGGAGGAUUUCAAUCAAAUUUGUCAGAGCCAUCGUGUUUCCACAAGCUGGAAUGUGUGUCCGGGCCCGGGGAUCCGCCCAGCCCCAGGAGCAGCCUUCACACCCGGGACGAGGAGGAGGAGGAGGGCAGCCAGGGAGAAACACUGGCACGCUGCAAGGAAAAGCUCACUGGAGAGAUGAAAGGGGAUGGAAACGCCGUGCUGGGUCUAGCGAGCCGCCUGCACGGAGCUGGUGCCACCCCGGGCAGCGGGCCAGGCUGGAGGCAGCAGGGCUGCAGCAAGAUGCUUCUUGCAUGCCGGAGUCAAGACAAAUUCCUGCCGUUUCAGUGAGCUUGGAGCACGGCCAGGUGUCCUUCCAAGAGAAAAAGCUGCAGCUGCAGAAGCCGCAGGCAGCCCCAGGAACGCUCUGCCAGGCUGGGUGGUUUUGGAUGCUCCUGCAGCCUGGAGCAGGCACAGCCCUGUGCAGAGGGGCUGUGGGCACCUGCAGCACCGUGCCACGGUGCCACCAUCCCUGCUCCCAGCACCAGCUACGAGCUGGGCACUGCCCAGGCCACGGGGCUGAACGUGGGGACUGCAUUUACAGCCCUGAAGGAGCAGCCACCCCUGUCCCCAGAGCCAGGCUGAGGGGAGCACUGCAGCAGCACCUGAGCCUGGAUUUCACCCAGCACAGCCUCAGGCACAGCCUGACUGAUCCAUCACCCUCUGCUCAAAGAGGAAAAUAAUGACAGAGUACAGGCUCUGAGAAAUAAUACAGGUUUUUUUUAUUUGACAAUUAACAAAAGAGGGAUGGGAAUCUGGGCUGUAAACAUUGAUAGCUCCUUUCUGAUCACAACGAGUACUUUCCACCAACAUCCCUUUGUAUGCUCUGAUCCACCCAACAAUGCCCAGCCGACUCUGUCAGGGCUUUUGCUGCUCUGCUCAGGGUCACAAAUCCAGAGGCAGCUUAUUCACCACACACCCACAGCAGGACAGCCACCCACACAGGAGACAGCUGAGGGACUAAGACACUUCAGAGCUGCUUCCAUAUGUGAGACACGCUUGCAAAAGGCAGGAGAUCAUGCUGGGUUUGGGCCAGAAGGAGAGAAACAUCUCUAAACGCAGCAGGUCUGCAGAGAAAUGAGCCCUGCAAAAGGCAGAGCCUGCCCAGGCAGGGACAGGGACUGUGACAGUGCCAGCCCAGCAAGAACACCCCAGCCCUGCUGUCAGAGGGAAGCUUUGGCCCAGGACUGUGAAGAUCUGGAGAUGCAGAGCAAGUCUGUCCCAAAGAGGGACUGGCACAUCGUCAGCUCCAUUGUUGCAGUGGAACCAGAACUGCCUGGAGCUUGACAGGGGGAAGUGAAACCUCAUCUUGGGCUGGAGGGCAGCCAGGGCUGGAGGAGCUGCACCCAGCUGCCAGCCCUGCCAGCCGCAGCACACAGCUUCUCCCGGGACAGAGCCCUCCCCAGCACACAGCUUCUCCCGGGACAGAGCCCUCCCCAGCACACAGCUUCUCCCGGGACAGAGCCCUCCUCAGCACACAGCUUCUCCCGGGACAGAGCCCUUCCAGCACACAGAGCCCUUCCAGCACACAGCUUCUCCCGGGACAGAGCCCUCCCCAGUACACUGCUUUUCCCGGGACAGAGCCCUCCCAGUCCUCAGCCUCUCCUCCUCCAGGAGGAAGCAGCCUGCAGGUGGGUCAGCCACACACCAGAAGCAGCCCAAGGGCUUCAGGCACCUCUUGGGGAUGGAGCCAUGGGGAGCCAGCAGGGAGGUCCUGGUGCCACCCCCACCACGGGCACCAGCUGCCACCCCAGCCACCCUCGCCCUGCAGCAACAGGCAAAUGCACAGCUCCAAAGAACAGUGUUUAACACAGAAACCUCCCCCAGCUGCAGCCACAGCACUUCUCAGGGCACAGAGCUGCUCUGGACUCAGGCAGAUCCCAACCAGGGGCUCAGCCUGUCCCUUCCCAGGUGCCCAGCUGGUUCUGAGCCUGGCUUUUGGUGGGAACAGGGUCAGGUCAUCUCCUCGUCACACCACCUGGAUGGACCAGCAAAUAAAAAUAAUCCAACAAAUUUGAAUACA
ensembl:lncRNA